rnacentral:rRNA from 1 species
GAUGAACGCUAGCGGCAGGCUUAAUACAUGCAAGUCGUGGGGCAGCAGGACUGUAGCAAUACAGUUGCUGGCGACCGGCACACGGGUGCGGAACACGUACGCAACUUACCCUGAACUGGGGGAUAGACCGGGGAAACCCGGAUUAAUACCCCGUCAUAUAAUGGAAUGGCAUCACUUUAUUAUUAAAGCUCCGGCGGUUCGGGAUGGGCGUGCGGCUGAUUAGGUAGUUGGUUGAGGUAACGGCGCACCAAGCCUACGAUCAGUAACUGGUGUGAGAGCACGACCAGUCACACGGGCACUGAGACACGGGCCCGACUCCUACGGGAGGCAGCAGUAAGGAAUAUUGGGCAAUGGAGGCGACUCUGACCCAGCCAUGCCGCGUGGAGGAUGAAGGCCCUCUGGGUUGUAAACUUCUUUUAUAGGCGACGAAACCUGUGUAUUCUUACGCAGUUGACGGUACCCUAGGAAUAAGCACCGGCUAACUCCGUG